UAUCAAGUACUGGUAACUCGUUGUACAGGGCGCUUAAUUGUAGUCAGUGUUUUAUUAUUGUUGUAGUUUUGUUAAGAAUUGCUUAUUAAAGGUGCACUCUGGCCAAAAUUAAAACUUUAACCAUUGCUAUAUCUGUAUACCUGUUGUAAACUUGACUACUUGCAUCUCGUCAGCUGCGCCGCAGUAGUUCUUAGUGAGAUUGUCUAGGAUACAGACUAGGUAAACUCCCUUCAGAUUAGUAUCUUGAAGGUGGGAUGAACAUUUGAACAAAUACAUUCUCUUUGGGGUGAAUACAUGAGAGCAGUUUUGAAAUGUUUUUUGGCCUCUAGCUGGCUAAUGCACAAGAAAGUUAGAUUGCUGACGUUACAGUUACAUCAGUGCAUUUGUUUAUCAUUGUGAGGGUGGGGUGGAGGGGUCUCAUUGUAUGACAUAUUUGUGCAAUGCAUACAUAGUAAAUGGUAGUUUUAGGCCAGAAUGCCCCUUUGAGGCAACAUAAGGUAAGAAUAUAAAAUGAUUAAUUUUAGUUAUGUUAUGUUAUAUAUAGUUAUAUAUGUUACAGACAACUUCAUAGUAGAUUUUAAGGGUAUUUCUUAUCAUCUCUCUUUGCCUAUCUUCCUUUAUCUCUCUCUCUCUCUCUCUCUCUCUCUCUCUCUCUCUCUCUCUCUCUCUCUCAUGUAUUGGUGGACACGUUGUUUGCCUUUUCCUCUCUUGAUGUGCUUGCAGGAUCACCGGACCCAUCUCAGUGACGUUACCCAUCCAUCUGUCUGUCCAGCCCUCCGUUCAUCCAUCCAUCCACUCAUCGAUCCAGUACCAGGCAGCAGAGCUUUGACCGAGCUGAACUGACUGGCCUCCACCAUCAUCACUCGAUCCUGCUGUUCUGUCCAGAAAUCCACAUUCAGCUGAUGAUGGACUGGAAUGAAGAUGUGUGUGUGUGUGUGUGUGUGUGUGUGUUGCAUGUGAUGGUGUCUUGUAUAAAUCUUGUAAAUAUUGUAAAUAUAAUUACUCUGUAUUUUCUUCGUAAAUAAAUAUUGUUAUUUUGUUCGUUUAAA